CAACCGGAGGUGAGAAUUGGAGGAAACGAAAUAGACUGAAGUUGUUCAAUCAUCGGUGGUCUCUAUUUGGUUUUCUCCAAUAUCUCAUCUACAGUUU
rfam:Citrus sinensis cultivar Ridge Pineapple sweet orange scaffold00266_contig_26, whole genome shotgun sequence.